AAUGAUUGGGCCCUGCCCGCGACCGGGAUAACUCCGGGAAACCGGAGCUAAUACCGGAUAACACCGAAGACCGCAUGGUCUUCGGUUGAAAGGCGGCCUUUGGGCUGUCACUUGCGGAUGGGCCCGCGGCGCAUUAGCUAGUUGGUGAGGUAACGGCUCACCAAGGCGACGAUGCGUAGCCGGCCUGAGAGGGUGACCGGCCACACUGGGACUGAGACACGGCCCAGACUCCUACGGGAGGCAGCAGUAGGGAAUCUUCCGCAAUGGGCGAAAGCCUGACGGAGCGACGCCGCGUGAGCGAAGAAGGCCUUCGGGUCGUAAAGCUCUGUUGUGAGGGACGAAGGAGCGCCGUUUGAAGAAGGCGGCGCGGUGACGGUACCUCACGAGAAAGCCCCGGCUAACUACGUGCCAGCAGCCGCGGUAAUACGUAGGGGGCGAGCGUUGUCCGGAAUUAUUGGGCGUAAAGCGCGCGCAGGCGGUCUCUUAAGUCUGAUGUGAAAGCCCACGGCUCAACCGUGGAGGGUCAUUGGAAACUGGGGGACUUGAGGGCAGGAGAGGAGAGCGUAAUUCGCCGUGUAGCGGUGAAAUGCGUAGAGAUGUGGAGGAACACCAGUGGCGACGGCGGCUCUCUGGCCUGCACCUGACGCUGAGGCGCGAAAGCGUGGGCGAGCAAACAGGAUUAGAUACCUGGUAGUCACGCCGUAACGAUGAGUGCUAGGGGUUAAGGGGUCACAUCCCUGUACUGCUGCAGCUAACGUGAUAGCACUCCGGCCUGGGGAGUACCGGCCGCAAGGCUGAACUCAAGGAA
rnacentral:rRNA from 1 species